UACGGAGGGGGCUAGCGUUGUUCGGAAUUACUGGGCGUAAAGCGUACGUAGGCGGCUUUGUAAGUUAGAGGUGAAAGCCCGGGGCUCAACUCCGGAAUUGCCUUUAAGACUGCAUCGCUUGAAUCAUGGAGAGGUGAGUGGAAUUCCGAGUGUAGAGGUGAAAUUCGUAGAUAUUCGGAAGAACACCGGUGGCGAAGGCGACUCACUGGACAUGUAUCGACGCUGAGGCACGAAAGCGUGGGGAGCAAACAGG
rnacentral:rRNA from 1 species